CCCUCCCUCAGAGGACUACAAGNGAAAAACUUGAAACUCAAAGGACUUGACGGUGCCCCAUAUCCCCCUAGAGGAGCCUGUCCCGUAAUCGAUACCCCACGCUUAACCUCUCCCCCCCUCGCCCAAAAUCAGCCUAUAUACCGCCGUCGCCAACCUGCCUAAUGAUAGACACACAGCAGGUAAAAUAGCUCCCCACUAACACGUCAGGUCAAGGUGUAGCUUAUGGGGGGGUGCGAGAUGGGCUACAUUUUCUAACCACUAGAAAACCCACCACAAGCCAUGUGAAACCGUGGCCACCAGGCGGAUUUAGCAGUAAAUACGAGCAAGACGUGCUCAGUUGAAGCCCUGCCCUGGGGUGCGUACACACCGCCCGUCACCCUCUUCAAACACCAAAACACCCAAGAUAACUAAAACAAGACUACGCCCCAAGACGAGGUAAGUCGUAACAUGGUAAGCCUACCGGAAGGUGGGCUUGGCCCUCC
rnacentral:rRNA from 1 species